GCUUACGGCCACACCGCCUGGUUCACGCGGAUCUCGGAAGCUAAGAUAGGUUGGGCCUGGUUAGUACUUGGAUGGGAGACCGCCUAGGAAUACCAGGUGCUGUAAGCC
rnacentral:rRNA from 1 species